rnacentral:siRNA from 1 species
UCCGCCAUCAUAGUCGUUCA